CUGUAGCGGAAUGGAUAUCGCGUUGAACUUCUAAUCCAAAGGUCAUGGGUUCGAAUCCCACCUGAAAGG